AACGAACGCUGGCGGCAGGCCUAACACAUGCAAGUCGAACGCUCCAGCAAUGGAGAGUGGCAGACGGGUGAGUAACGCGUGGGAACCUUCCCUAUGGUUCGGAAUAGCCCAGGGAAACUUGGGGUAAUACCGAAUAAGCCCUUCGGGGGAAAGAUUUAUCGCCAUUGGAUGGGCCCGCGUCGGAUUAGCUAGUUGGUGGGGUAACGGCCUACCAAGGCGACGAUCCGUAGCUGGUCUGAGAGGAUGAUCAGCCACACUGGGACUGAGACACGGCCCAGGCUCCUACGGGAGGCAGCAGUGGGGAAUAUUGGACUAUGGGCGCAAGCCUGAUCCAGCCAUGCCGCGUGAGUGACGAAGGCCUUAGGGUUGUAAAGCUCUUUUGGCGGGGAAGAUAAUGACGGUACCCGCAGAAUAAGCUCCGGCUAACUUCGUGCCAGCAGCCGCAGUAA
rnacentral:rRNA from 1 species